rnacentral:lncRNA from 1 species
UUGAAUAAUAACAAGGCUUUAAUGGCUCAAUUUUCUUAUGAUUAUACAAACAUACAAAUCUUGAAAAGGUAACGCCGUGUAGUAAAAUCCAUAAAAAUAACAGUUUUGCCACAGUGCAGAGCAAAGUUCAUUCAGUUUGAUUCCCCAUGCCCUCGCCAAGCAGCUUUCUGAUUAGAGCUGGAAGACACAGGCUGGGCGCGGAGGCGACCCUGUAGUCCCAGCUACUGGGGAGGCUGAGGUGGAAGGAUCACUUGAGUCCAGGAGUUUCCGGCCAGUGUGGGCAACAUAGCAAGACCCCGUCUCUUUUUUUAAAAUUGGGAGGCAUAAAGUCUAUACAUUCUACACUGAAUCAUGAAUACACUACGGAGAGUGUGCAGAAAGUAAACCCUGAAAUCCCACACUCCAACAUCAUGUAUGUCCAUGAGCAGGAUUUGCAAUUCACUUCAUACUGGAGGUAAGCACCUCAGCUGGGGUCCUCUUGCCGCAGUGGUCAGGCCGUCAGAGCUGAGGCCUUUCACUACAAGGGAAGUAGUCUUCGGUCCGAAACAGGACGGGGGCUUCGUAGCCGGCUUGCUGUGGCCUCGAGGGAGCAGACUUGCUAAAGAGCGAGGGCACGUUCAUCGUGUGCAGGAGCUUCUUGAACGCCCUGGGGAAGGUGCCCAGCUCGGCCUCGGCCUUGGUGACCUGCUCCUCCAUCCUGGCUACGCGGCCGCCCACCAUCCUCACGAAGGCCUCCAGCCGGUCGAUCCUGCUGUAGAUGUGCCGCAUCUCGGCGGCCUUCGCGUGGAUGCGCGGCACGCCCUCGCUUACGACUUGGGAAGAGUCGCCGCGAAGCAUGUCCAGCAUGCCCACGAACUCGUCCACUCUGGUGAGCAGGUCCUCCAGGCUCGCGUCCAGGGCCUCGACCUCGGGCCGCGCCCCUGCCCCAGGCAGCAGGCAGGCGGCGUAGCCCGCAGCGGCGCGGCGAAGCAGCGGCAGGUCGCGGCCCGGCGCACCGUCCUCCGCGCCCUCAUCCUCCCACGGCCCCGAGGCGCUGCUGUGGCUCUGGGACACAGUGCCACUGUCCCCGCUCCAGGCGGCGCCCUGAGGCUCGGCCUCUUCCGCCAGCCCUCGGGCGGCGCUCCGCUAUCUGAGGAGCUACCCUCCAUAGCGACCACCUUGCUAUGCAGCGCCCGCUUCCGACCUCCGCGCGCUCAC